UAGAAAUGAGGAAAACACACAAGUCUUGAUUUGUUUCUGAAGACUUCUAAUCCAACUCUGAUCUUGUUGGC